CGACCGGAGGAACUCCCAUGAUGCCCUGUCCAAAAGCACAUUGCUGACGUGGCAGGUCCUGGUCCGAACGCCACAGUAUUUAACGCACUUUAUAAGCGCACGAGUCAGAUGUCUACCUGCUUUGCCGUGCGUUUUAUUGUCCCCGCAGUUCAGAAGUUGCACGCUGUUUUUCACAAGUCACGUCCCGUGCCAGCUUCGGCCCAAACAGAAGGACACAGAAUCACUUCACAGGACUGUCAAAGACCGCAAGAACAGACCUGAAAACGAGCGCGUGGAUUUGAAGAUAUUUUGUGGACUUGAUGAGCAUCUUCAGCGGAUCAGGUGCCACGGGGCGAGACGCGUUUGCGAGCGCGAGAACCUGGUGUCGCUCGGAUGAUGCCAGAGGUCAAGGGUCAGCAACAGUUAAUAAGAGGAGCUGUCUGAGGUCCCAGAGGUCAUUCCCAAGGGGCUGACCCGCUUGUCGACAACACUUAAUGCGAAUCCACCUCGACCCGCAGCCCACACCAGAGCAGCGGCAGGCCCUUCGGAGCAGCGAAAACCCAUUUUGGAAGUACUGACCUGCAACUUACCCGUUCCUGAUCCGGAAUUCUGGAGUGAAGCGGCUCCGUUCUGGGACAGGUGCCAGUUGCUCACAAAAGGCGACCGAAAAUCGGUGAUCUGCACGUUGUUGGGAGUGUAAGGAAAACGGCAUGCAACUAUCGCAGAAAAAAAAGUGAAGGAUGGUCGCGAGGGGAGGGGAAGAUGUAGAAAAAGAGGAUCGUGAAGGAGGAGGUGGGGGGGCGUUCAACACUCCUCGGGCCUCCGAGAGCUGAUCGCAUGUGCCGUGGAAACCACGGGACCAUUUGCAUGCGGCAGACACGCUAAUUGUGUGUUUGCUAACACGCACCAUUCAGCGAGACGCGCUCCGGUCCGCAGACGGGGUUCACACACGCCUCCCAGACGCCCCGGAGGCCUCCUAUUGUUCCAGAGGCCCAGCCGAGCAGCCGGCGAGCCUAACCAGAUCCCUGCGCUGAGAGGGUGGACUGGAAUUCGAGACCGGGAUAGCGGAACGGGACGGCUUGCUUUUUCUCUCUGCAGCAAGACAUCUAAAGAAAAAGAGGCCUGCGGAAAGCACUGCCUCCGGACGCUGACGUCCUCGCAGAUGUGUUUUGAAAUGGACUAACGGAGAUGCAGUGCUGCACAGGACCUGAUAGACAGACAUGGUCACCACGAACCGUCGUCGUAUGGAAAGAGCAGUGAGAAGAUUCUUCAGAAUUCACCUUCUGUGUUUCACGGACGAGUUUGAACAACACGAGGGAGAUGAAGUUGAACACCACGUCUGCAGCGGAUCUGAAUGCACCGGAAGUGUGUGAUUUUAUGUUACGUCGCAUUGGUACGUGCAUUCAGGUGACAGACACACUGCUCUGCUACAUUUUAUUCAUAAAUACAAAAUUAUUGCCGUUUUAUUUAUAAAAAUCAUGUCUUGCAUACGAUAUAUAUGGAAUUCAUUUUAAUUGUACCGUUGUUGAAGUCUAGCCUCAAACUCACUGCUGAUUGGUUCUCUGGUUAGUGCAGUGACGUGCAGCUUCACGUUAGCUAUGUUUCCAUCCAAAGCUGUGAACUUAACUUAUGCGCAACAUUGGAAUAUCGCAAAAAACAUUUGCAAAUAAAGCACAGUGAGUCGAAGAGAACAAAAUCAUCACUUCCUGAUAAACUGGCGCUAAAUAUGACUAAGAAAAGCAGAAGUAGAAAAAUAAUUUUCGUAUAUAAUAAACGAAAGGAAGCGCGCAGACGAAACGCAAUAAACGUGGAAGUUGUGAAAGACAGUUCUUAAGGUAAUUAUACUGAUCCACUUCGACGACAGACUUUGCUCAGGCAUUACAGAAUGACCAAAACAGCAUUUCAGAUGUUGUGCAAAAAGAUCAGUCCGCUGGUUAGUCCAGUUAUGCCGUCCCAUCAGGCAAAGUCACAUGACUUUUUUGAUACGCCUUGAAGUAAAUGUGUUUCCAUCGCAAAACAAAAUUAUCCGACUCAGUUGAGCAUAUAAGUUUUUCAUGGGCAUUUUUAGAGUUUAAGCGUGUCUUGGCAUUUCCAUCCAGCAGUUUCUUAUGCGAUAUCCCAAAAUGUGCAUAAAAAUAUGUGGAUGGAAACAUAACAGUGUUGGAGAAAGUUACUUUUAAAAGUAAUGCAUUACAAUAUUGCAUUACUCCCUAAAAAAGUAACUAAUUGUGCGUUUGAAAAUUUGGCGUUUUCAUCACUUUCUAAUGGGAUACAAAAAAUUUCGCAUAAAAACAGGGUGAUGGAAACUGAAAAAAUGGUGUCCUGAACAUUUUUAUUGUUCAUUUCAUAAACUUGCACCAGCAUGUGACGCAUUCAUUGGUGUUGCUCGUACAUCAGAGACUCUUCUUACAUGCGCUACCGUUCAAAAGUCGUACGUUUUUUUAAAUAUUUUUGAAAGAAGUCUCUUCUGCUCAUCAAGCUUGCAUUGAUUUGAUUAAAAAUACAGUAAAAUCAGUAAUAUUGUGAAACAUUAUUACUAUAUAAAAUAGCUGUUUCCUAUGUGAAUAUAUGUUAAAAUGUGAUCAAAGCUGAAUUUUCAGAAAUCAUUCUAAUAUGCUGAUUUGCUGCUUAAGAAACAUUUCUGAUUAUUAUCAAUGCUGAAAAUAUGAUUAUGGAAACCGUGAUACAUUUUUUUCAGGAUUCUUUGAUGAACAGAAAGUUUAAAAAAACAGCAAUCUUUUUUUUAACAUUAUAAAUGCCUUUACUGCCACUUUUUAUUAUUUUAAUGCAUCCGUUUAUAGUGUUCACAUGUGCAUUUCUGAAUUUCACAUUCAUAUGUGGCUGUGUUUUGAGAUGCACGCUCGUAUGAAUGUGAAUCGUUCUGCCUCUGUGUUUGCACUCACACAUACUUUUUGCGCUGCAUAUGUGUGACUUUACCUUCUCGCUGCAUUCGCCCGCAGUGCCCUGCUGUAACUCAUGCGCUCUCAGUCGUAGAGGUCACGCAGGGGUCACGGCGUCUGCGGCGUCGACCCUCCCCCACAGCCAGACACAAGCCUCGCGCAGUCCGUCCAGUCCCGCACAUCUGUAACAGGAGCUGUUGGCGUAUAAAAAUAGCUGCUUCAGGCCUCUGCCCUGUGAACCCGGGGGCCGGCAGAGCCUCUCUUGCCCUAUUUAGCAUCUGCCGAGCAAACUCAGCUGUCUGGAUUCCUCCCGUCUGCACCUGGGGCCCCUCGGGGCCGCACCAUCGUCGCGGGGCGAUCCUGAUUAAAGGGUGUGCUGGGUAACCAGAUUAUAGAAACCCAAGAGGAAAUCGGUUAGCAGUUUUAUGGGGGUUUUGGUCUCAAUCAAAAAUGCAUUUAAAUGCAAUUUAUAUUUAUGUUUUAAAAAUCUGGAUUAUGAUUCUGGCUUAAUGUCAAGGUCGAGGCUGUGUAACCGCCCUGUGAUCAUAAAUAGUUUGGAAAAACUGCUUAUCAAAUCAAUAUCACUGUGGUAUAACCAACAUGCAGGAAGCUAUUUUGCUGUCAUGUGGCAAUAAAACCAUAAAACAAGAAAUGAAAUCACAGAAAGGACAGUUGUAAAACUUCAAAUGUUCAACAUUUUAUCGCUUAUGUAUUAGUCAAAAAAAUGAAACAACAAAAUUAUAUUAUAUUACAAAAUUUAUAUUAAAUAAUGUAAUAUUUAAAAUAAAUAUUAAAUAUGUAAUCAUUAUUAUUUAAUAUAUAUAAUUAUAUUUAUAUAUAACAUUAUAAUAUAUAACAUUAUUUUAAUAAUUAUUAAAUAAAAUAUUUAAAUAAAUAAUGAAAAUAAUUAUUUAAUUAAAU